UUGUUUUUGUUUGUUUGUUUAAUUUUCAUGUGGUGUAUGUUUUUGGGCAUGGCCAUGCCUCUGUUUUGAGUUUUGAUUGAGUUUUGGUUUUAAAUUUUCGUUAUGUGUUUUUGUUUUCUGAUCCUUACUUUUUCUGUUUGUAUUCUAUGUUUUCAUUUGUUUACAUUCUUAUGACCAUUGGACAAACAGACUGGAGCAGACCAGAGUGUGUGUGUUACAGGAGCAGCAGGAACAGUUCGCCAUCCAGGAGGAGAAAAAUAAGCAUGGGCAAUGGUAAGAAGAAAGAGAAAAAUAAGCACUGGCAAUGAUAAGGAGGAGGACGAGAAAAGAAGCAGAAUUACACAUCACAAUUAUCAAGAUUUACAUCAGAGUAUAGUAUAGGAACUGGCAGUGAUAAGGAGGAGGAGAAAAAUAAGCACUGGCAAUGAUAAGGAGGAGGAAGAAAAAAGAAGCAGGAUUACACAUCGCAACUAUCAGGAAUUACAUCAGGUUUUAGUACAUCUAAAAGAUUUUGCAACAUUCGGUCCCAUUUUGUCACCUUGUUCAUCCCUCAAUGGCUUUUACAUACACGUCAAGCGACAAGUGCAGGUU